rnacentral:rRNA from 1 species
CAGCCGCCACGGUAAAACGUAGGUGGCAAGCGUUGUCCGGAAUUACUGGGCGUAAAGCGUGCGCAGGCGGUUUUGUAAGACAGGCGUGAAAUCCCCGGGCUCAACCUGGGAACUGCGCUUGUGACUGCACAGCUAGAGUAUGGCAGAGGGGGGUGGAAUUCCACGUGUAGCAGUGAAAUGCGUAGAUAUGCGGAGGAACACCGAUGGCGAAGGCAAUCCCCUGGGCCUGCACUGACGCUCAUGCACGAAAGCGUGGGGAGCAAACAGGAUUAGAUACCCCAGUAGUCCCUGUCUCUUAUAC